UAAAACGUAGGUGACUAGCGUUAUCCGGAUUUACUGGGCGUAAAGCGCGUGCAGGCGGCUCGGCGAGUCGGGCAUGAAAUCUCCUGGCCUAACUGGGAGACGCUGUCCGAUACUGCCGGGCUUGAGGGCAGUAGAGGGUGGUGGAAUUCCGCAUGUAGUGGUGAAAUGCGUAGAUAUGCGGAGGAACACCAGUGGCGAAGGCGGCCACCUGGACUGCACCUGACGCUGAAGCGCGAAAGCUAGGGGAGCGAACGGG
rnacentral:rRNA from 1 species